GAUGAACGCUGGCGGCGUGCCUAAUACAUGCAAGUCGAGCGAACGGACGAGAAGCUUGCUUCUCUGAUGUUAGCGGCGGACGGGUGAGUAACACGUGGAUAACCUACCUAUAAGACUGGGAUAACUUCGGGAAACCGGAGCUAAUACCGGAUGAUAUUUUGAACCGCAUGGUUCAAAAGUGAAAGACGGUCUUGCCGUCACUUAUAGAUGGAUCCGCGCUGCAUUAGCUAGUUGGUAAGGUAACGGCUUACCAAGGCAACGAUGCAUAGCCGACCUGAGAGGGUGAUCGGCCACACUGGAACUGAGACACGGUCCAGACUCCUACGGGAGGCAGCAGUAGGGAAUCUUCCGCAACGGGCGAAAGCCUGACGGAGCAACGCCGCGUGAGUGAUGAAGGUCUUCGGAUCGUAAAACUCUGUUAUUAGGGAAGAACAUAUGUGUAAGUAACUGUGCACAUCUUGACGGUACCUAAUCAGAAAGCCACGGCUAACUACGUG
rnacentral:rRNA from 1 species